CGGAGUUGUGUAUAAGAUACAGGCAUACACACACCAGUCCUGGUUACAUUUUUUUCCCUUCUCUUUGGACCAUGAUAAGCUUCAGAGUAGUGACUACGGGAGCAGGGUAACUUAGAGUGAAGAGAUAUUUACACAGAAAAGUAAAUUUGCAUGUAUGAGCUAGGAAGGUGUUUUUUAGGUAUGUUACAGGCUUACUUUAAACAAUUUAACUUACGUUCCGAAGUAACUGUAAAUUAAUGUUGGUAGUAUAGCAAAUUAUGAUGAAUAGCUUUAAUUGUAUGUUUAAAAAUCAUGUUCACAAGCUUAAAUCUGGAUAUCAGAAUUAAGCAAUUCUUGAAAUGUAUGAAUGUCUCCUUAAUAUACUGAUUACAAAGCA